rnacentral:rRNA from 1 species
GAGGAACGCUGGCGGCGUGCUUAACACAUGCAAGUCGAACGGGAAACCUUUUAUUGAAGCUUCGGCAGAUUUAGCUGGUUUCUAGUGGCGGACGGGUGAGUAACGCGUGGGUAACCUGCCUUAUACAGGGGGAUAACAGUCAGAAAUGGCUGCUAAUACCGCAUAAGCGCACAGAGCUGCAUGGCUCAGUGUGAAAAACUCCGGUGGUAUAAGAUGGACCCGCGUUGGAUUAGCUGGUUGGUGGGGUAACGGCCCACCAAGGCGACGAUCCAUAGCCGGCCUGAGAGGGUGAACGGCCACAUUGGGACUGAGACACGGCCCAGACUCCUACGGGAGGCAGCAGUGGGGAAUAUUGCACAAUGGGGGAAACCCUGAUGCAGCGACGCCGCGUGAAGGAAGAAGUAUCUCGGUAUGUAAACUUCUAUCAGCAGGGAAGAUAAUGACGGUACCUGACUAAGAAGCCCCGGCUAACUACGUG